rnacentral:tRNA from 1 species
GUGCGCGUAGCUCAAUGGCAGAGCACCGGACUGUGGCUCCGGAUGUUGCGGGUUCGAUCCCCGUCGCGCACCCCA